rnacentral:ncRNA from 1 species
UAAAUUGAGAGUUUGAUCCUGGCUCAGGACGAACGCUGGCGGCGUGCCUAACACAUGCAAGUCGAGCGGAGAAUGCGGAUAUGUUUACAUAGAAGCGUUCUUAGCGGCGGACGGGUGAGUAACACGUGGGUAACCUGCCUCAAAGUGGGGGAUAGCCUUCCGAAAGGAAGAUUAAUACCGCAUAAG